UCUUCUCGUAGUGAUGUUCGGC
rnacentral:siRNA from 1 species